rnacentral:rRNA from 1 species
UACGGGGGGGGUAAGCGUUGUUCGGAAUUACUGGGCGUAAAGGGCGCGUAGGCGGUCAGCACAAGUCAGUUGUGAAAUCUCCGGGCUUAACUCGGAAAGGUCAACUGAUACUGUGCGACUAGAGUGCGGAAGGGGCAACUGGAAUCUCGGUGUAGCGGUGAAAUGCGUAGAUAUCGAGAGGAACACCUGCGGCGAAGGCGGGUUGCUGGGCCGACACUGACGCUGAUGACGCGAAAGCGUGGGGAGCGAACAGG